UGCAUGCAUGUGACACGUGUGCUGGCGUACAUGUGUGUGGGUUGUGUGUGUGUGUGUGUCCGUGCAUGUGCAUGAAGUGUGUGGGUGUGUUUUGGGCUGCACAGUGUGUGUGUGCAGGCCCUGUGUGUGUGUACAGUACGUGUGUGUGAGUGUGGGUUUGGGUUUAAGCCCAAACCACCCUUCUCAACCCAAGACCCAUUUCCAUUUCCUAAAAUUCUAUCGUUUGGGUAGUUUGAUUAAAUUGUAUAUUUUCGUGCUUAUGUGAAGUUGCUAGUGGAGACUUCCUUAAUCUUUUUCCACAGAAUUCUGCUGCUUCGAAGUAUCUGUCUUAGAAACGAGGCAUAGAAUCCCGGCAUCAAGGCACUUCCGCAGCAGCAUCUUCGAGUCUUCUCGGGGUAGGACCUACUCCUUGUUCAUUCAAUCUUAUCUUAAUUCUUGUUAGUGACUAGGUUUAGUUGUAUGCUCUGAACACGUUCCUAAAUUGUUAAUUCAUUCUUUUUAAAUUCAUAAUCCGUAUUUAUUUCUUA